GAGAAGUUCCCCCACCCUGCGCGCCCCCAGCUACCUGGCUGCUCUGCAGCUGGUGCAGUGAACGAGUCUCGCUGCUCCAGAGGAAAAGCCUCUCAAUGGGAAUGGAAUCAUAUUUAUUCCUGAUCUGCCCGAAUGCGCAGAAAAAAGAAAGUGCAGGCACAGGCAUGACAAUGGAUGCUCUCUCUGGAUGCAGAGACUCUGAGAGAGAGGGGGCAUCCUCUGCCUCCUCCUCACAACACAGUAGCAACAGUGAAGGCAGUUGUGUCUGUUUCACUAAAGAAGCCCGUU